rnacentral:lncRNA from 1 species
AUUUUUCAGGGCAUCUGGAUGUCUCUCUGAUCCCUCAUUUUCUAAUGUCCUGGCAAAGCCCCCCAGAUGUUUAUCAGUCUUAUAUUCAGACAGGCCGCCAUCUCAAACAAACCCACCCGCCAUAGGGGAUGGAUGGGCAGCCUGACACUCAAGCAGACAGCCAGGCACCCGGGCCCUGGCUAAUAACGCGGCAGUAAUCCUGCAUGGAUCUACCCAGGCCAAGUCGAAGGGCUGCAACGAGGGAAACCGGUGCACGCGCGCACCAACAUCAGCAUCUGAUGAAGUCCCCG